rnacentral:rRNA from 1 species
CUAGCUUGCUAAUAAUUCUCUAGUGGCGCACGGGUGAGUAACACGUGAGUACCUGCCCCCAAGAGUGGGAUAGCCCCGGGAAACUGGGAUUAAUACCGCAUAAAGCAAUAAAGCAGCAAUGCGCUUGGGGAUGGGCUCGCGUCCUAUUAGUUAGUUGGUGAGGUAACGGCUCACCAAGGCGAUGACGGGUAGCCGGUCUGAGAGGAUGUCCGGCCACACUGGAACUGAGACACGGUCCAGACACCUACGGGUGGCAGCAGUCGGGAAUCAUUCACAAUGGGGGAAACCCUGAUGGUGCGACGCCGCGUGGGGGAUAAGGUCUUCGGAUUGUAAACCCCUGUCAUGUGGGACAUUAAAA